rnacentral:pre_miRNA from 1 species
UAAAGUGCAGAUAGUGGUAGUUGGUCCUAAAAAUGACAGCUACUCUAUUUACACUUUAAAC